UGUGGCCCGUCUGAAACAAGAAGAAAACGGUUUCAACGUCCGAUGCCUCCAAAAUUUCUAAAUCCCUCGCCGGCACCAGAGACCCCUCUUCUCCAAGUGUCCCAUCCGACGUCGUUCUUCUCUUAUUAACGUGGCCACCGGUUCCACUCCUCCGCGGCCGUUCCAGUUUGCUUACUAGUAGGGUCGAUGGAAAUGUUGGUUCUUUACUAGAGAGAAUAGUUUAUGAUUGAAAUAUGAAGCAUUCAAUUGGGUUCGCUGCAGCAGGUUGUUAAGGGUUUUUCCUGAAGGUGUUGAUCAGCCAUGAUUUACACAGCCAUCGACACAUUUUACUUAACUGAUGAGCAACUAGAAAAUUCGCCUUCUAGGAAGGAUGGGAUCGAUAUAGCUACUGAAACUACAUUACGAAUCUAUGGUUGUGAUCUCAUCCAGGAGAGCGGGAUUUUGCUCAGAUUACCUCAGGCUGUCAUGGCAACUGGCCAAGUUUUAUUCCACCGGUUUUAUUGUAAAAAAACAUUUGCUCGUUUCAACGUGAAGAGGGUUGCUGCGAGCUGCGUCUGGCUUGCUUCAAAGCUUGAGGAAAGCCCUAGGAAAGCGAGACAAGUCCUCGUUGUUUUUCAUCGUAUGGAAUGUAGAAGGGAGAACCUGCCAAUUGAGCAUCUGGAUACGUCUUUGAAGAAAUAUGUGGAGUUGAAGGCAGAUUUGGUUAGAACAGAAAGACAUCUUUUGAAGGAGAUGGGCUUCAUCUGCCACGUGGAGCAUCCACACAAAUUCAUAUCGAAUUACCUACGGGUGCUUGAAACACCUGAACUGAGUCAAGAAGCUUGGAAUCUGGCAAAUGAUAGCUUGCGAACUACUUUGUGUGUGAGAUUCAAAAGUGAAGUCGUGGCUUGUGGAGUUGUUUAUGCAGCAGCUCGUAGGUUUCAGGUACCCCUACCUGAGAAUCCUCCUUGGUGGAAGGCAUUUGAUGCAGACAAAUCUGGGAUAGAUGAGGUUUGCAGAGUACUUGCCCACUUGUAUAGCCUUCCCAAGGCACAGUACAUUCCUGUAUGCAAGGAUGGAGGGUCGUUUACAACAUCUAACAAAUCAUGGGAUUUAUCGCCUCAGCCACCAAGGGAAGGAUCCUUGAGUGUCCCACCUGCAAAUGAUAAUAAUACCAGCCCCAGGGGGACAUCUACUGGAGCCAAUCAAGAAUCAGGCAAGGAUGCACAAUCCAAAGGUGCUUCAGACAAAUUAAAUGACUCGAAGAAAAGUGAUGGGGAAUCUAGAAGCUUGCCUACCGAUGGAGAGUCAAGAGAAGAACCUCUUUCAAAAUCAAUGUCCGAGCAUAAAACAGAGGCAAGUGAGGAAAGGGACAAGAAUGAAAGGGACAGGGAUCGCAGCAAGGAGAAGGAGAGAGUGAAAUCCCGGGACCGUGAUAGGGGAAGGGAAUCUGAUCGGGAACGAGAACGGGAACGGGAAAGAGAAAGGGAAAGACAGGACAGUGAGAGAGACAGGGAUAAAAUUAAGGACAGGAGUCAUCGCUCAAGGGACAAAGGGCAUGGGGAGAAAUCGAAACAUCACUCUUCUCGAGAUCGCGAGUACCACAGUUCUUAUUCAUCGAGGGAGAAGGAUCGCCGCAGGCAUCAUUGAUAGGAUUAUGCUGCAUUGUGAUGCGAGCUGCAUUUCUGUUACUGAAUUCUGCAGUAUCAGAGAAAUCCACGCGGAAAAUGUGAAAAUUCAAUUCCUUAAUCGACCGCAUAUCAACAUCAUAUUGCCAGGACAGUGUGUAUUCUUUUUGGCACCAGGAGGUGCAGUUUAGGACUCUGCAGGUCCAAGCAAAUACCAAAAAGAAAAGGCAAAAAGUAUUUUUUCCCUUUCCGUUCAUUGUUAGAAUCGAUUGGGCUCAAUUUUAUUGGAAACUUGUUUUACAAAUAUCAUUGGACAAAACCCCCUACUUCAUACUUAA